GGCUCGAGGACGAACGGCUGGCGGCGUGCCUAAUACAUGCAAGUCGAACGGUCUUUCUAUGGAAGCUUGCUUCCACUGAGAAGAUAGUGGCGAACGGGUGAGUAACACGUGGGUAACCUGCCCAUAAGAGGGGGAUAACAUCCGGAAACGGGUGCUAAUACCGCAUAGUUUUCUUGAUCGCAUGAUCGGGAAAGGAAAGACGGCCUUUGUGCUGUCGCUUAUGGAUGGACCCGCGGCGUAUUAGUUAGUUGGUGAGGUAACGGCUCACCAAGACGAUGAUACGUAGCCGACCUGAGAGGGUGAUCGGCCACAUUGGGACUGAGACACGGCCCAAACUCCUACGGGAGGCAGCAGUAGGGAAUCUUCCGCAAUGGACGAAAGUCUGACGGAGCAACGCCGCGUGAGUGAAAGAAGGUUUUCGGAUCGUAAAACUCUGUUGUCAGAGAAGAACAAGUUGGAGAGUAACUGCUCCAGCCUUGACGGUAUCUGACCAGAAAGCCACGGCUAACUACGUGCCAGCCGCCGC
rnacentral:rRNA from 1 species